CCUACGGGGGGCAGCAGUGGGGAAUAUUGCACAAUGGGGGAAACCCUGAUGCAGCGACGCCGCGUGAGUGAAGAAGUAUCUCGGUAUGUAAAGCUCUAUCAGCAGGGAAGAAAAUGACGGUACCUGACGAAGAAGCCACGGCUAACUACGUGCCAGCAGCCGCGGUAAUACGUAGGGGGCAAGCGUUAUCCGGAUUUACUGGGGGUAAAGGGAGCGUAGACGGCGCUGCAAGUCCGGAGUGAAAGCCCAUGGCUUAACCAUGGGACUGCUCUGGAAACUGUGGAGCUUGAGUGCGGGAGGGGCAGGCGGAAUUCCUCGUGUCGCUGUGAAAUGCGUAGAUCUUAGGAGGAACCCCGGCGGCGACGGCGGCCUGCUGGACCGUAACUGACGUUGAGGCUCGAAAGCGUGGGGAGCAAACAGGAUUAGCUACCCGUGUAGUC
rnacentral:rRNA from 1 species